ACUGCGUCGCGCGCGCGCCGGUCCAUCUCCCGAUACUGGGCGCGACGCGUUCGGAACGGCGCGUGCCAGCCUUCGUGUCGGACUUCGUCGCGCGGCCAGCGCGCAGCACGCGCCUCGUCCGUUUCCACGUCGCACCGCCGGUGCUCAGACUGAGGAGAAACUUCAUUCGCCCUGAAGUUGGGACCACACACACACACACACACACACACACACAGCAACACCGCCGAGGAACAUGAAGCCAAGUUGAAGAAGGCACAACACACCACACCACACCGGCGUCAACCAGUUGCUCAGGUGAAAGAGGAAGGAAUGAAUGGAGCGGAGCUCCGUGUGUGUGUGUGCGUGCUGAGUGCUGAGUGCGUCCAGCCAGUGCACAUGUCCUAGUAUCACAGGAGGAGGAACCCGACCGGGACUCACAGAUUUUGGAGGGACUGCGGUUCGACUCCCUGCAGGCGGCCGUGCAUCACCGGGGCUUUGAUAGCCCCGUCACGCUGAGGUGUGCCCAGUUAAAGGCUGAGAAGCACUGAAGGGGAGGAGAAAGAUGGGCGCUGCGGUUCAUGUGCUGCACCUGAAAGAAGAUACAGGAUGGCUGCCAGAAAAGGGGAGAUGGGGGCUGUUUCUGUUGGAGAAAAAUGGCAAAUAAAAGUCUUGACAGGCUCAUUGUACCGAACCGCACCAGCCUGUGUCUU